UACGGAGGGUGCAAGCGUUGUCCGGAUUUAUUGGGUUUAAAGGGUGCGUAGGCGGCCUUAUAAGUCAGUGGUGAAACCCUUGGGCUUAACCCAAGGAGUGCCAUUGAUACUGUAAGGCUUGGGUUAUCUCUGGGCGGGCGGAAUGGAUGGUGUAGCGGUGAAAUGCAUAGAUAUCAACCAGAACGCCGACAGCGAAGGCAGCUCGCUGGGGAUAUACCGACGCUGAGGCACGAUAGCGUGGGGAUCAAACAGG
rnacentral:rRNA from 1 species